rnacentral:rRNA from 1 species
GGGGGAAACGUCUCGAAAGGGACGCUAAUACCGCAUGACAUCCUCGUCUUUUAAGAGGCGGUGAUCAAAGCCGGGGAUCGCAAGACCUGGCGCUUGAAGAGGGGCCCGCGUCCGAUUAGCUAGUUGGUGGGGUAAUGGCUCACCAAGGCAACGAUCGGUAGCCGGCCUGAGAGGGCGGACGGCCACACUGGGACUGAGACACGGCCCAGACUCCUACGGGAGGCAGCAGUGGGGAAUUGUUCGCAAUGGGCGCAAGCCUGACGACGCAACGCCGCGUGGAGGAUGAAGAUUUUCGGAUCGUAAACUCCUUUCGAUCGAGACGAAUGACUUCCGGACUAAUAAUUCGGAAGAAUGACGGUACCGAGAGAAGAAGCCCCGGCUAACUCCGUGCCAGCAGCCGCGGUAAUACGGGGGGGGGCAAGCGUUGUUCGGAAUUACUGGGCGUAAAGGGCUCGUAGGCGGCCAACUAAGUCAGACGUGAAAUCCCUCGGCUUAACCGAGGAACUGCGUCUGAUACUGGAUGGCUUGAAUCCGGGAGAGGGAUGCGGAAUUCCAGGUGUAGCGGUGAAAUGCGUAGAUAUCUGGAGGAACACCGGUGGCGAAGGCGGCAUCCUGGACCGG